rnacentral:rRNA from 1 species
GGUUAAGCUACUAAGGGCACACGGUGGAUGCCUUGGCGCCAGGAGCCGAUGAAGGACGGGGCGAACACCGAUAUGCCUCGGGGAGCCGUAAGCAGGCGUUGAUCCGGGGAUUUCCGAAUGGGGCAACCCACCAGCUUGAAGAGCUGGUACCGCCAUCUGAAUCCAUAGGAUGGACGGGGGCAGACCAGGGGAACUGAAACAUCUUAGUACCCUGAGGAGAAGAAAGCAAACGCGAUUCCCUGAGUAGCGGCGAGCGAAAGGGGAACAGCCCAAACCGACAGACUUUGUCUGUCGGGGUUGUAGGACGUCUCACACGGAGUGAGAAAGGCGAGGGAUAGGUGAAGUGGUUCUGGAAAGACCCGCGAUAAAAGGUAACAGCCCUGUAACCGAAAUCCUUCGCCCUCCGAGACGGAUCCUGAGUACCGCGGGACACGUGAAACCCCGUGGGAAGCUGGGAGGACCACCUCCCAAGGCUAAAUACUCCCUGGCGACCGAUAGUGAACCAGUACCGUGAGGGAAAGGUGAAAAGCACCCCGGGAGGGGAGUGAAAGAGAACCUGAAACCGUGUGCUUACAAUCAGUCGGAGCUCCUUUGAGGAGUGACGGCGUGCCUUUUGUAGAAUGAACCGGCGAGUGACGGUUGCGUGCGAGGUUAAGGUGAGAAGCCGGAGCCGCAGCGAAAGCGAGUCUGAACAGGGCGCAUGAGUACGUAGUCGUCGACCCGAAACCGGGUGAUCUACCCAUGUCCAGGGUGAAGUUCCGGUAACACGGAAUGGAGGCCCGAACCUUUUGGUGUUGAAAAACCAUAGGAUGAGGUGUGGGUAGGGGUGAAAUGCCAAUCGAACUCGGAGAUAGCUGGUUCUCCCCGAAAUAGCUUUAGGGCUAGCCUCGGAGCAGGAGUGAUGGAGGUAGAGCACUGAUUGGGCUAGGGGCCCUCACCGGGUUACCGAACUCAGUUAAACUCCGAAUGCCAUCCACUUUUCCUCCGGGAGUCAGACUGCGAGUGCUAAGAUCCGUAGUCAAAAGGGAAACAGCCCAGACCACCAGCUAAGGUCCCCAAGUAACCGCUAAGUGGGAAAGGAUGUGGAGUUGCCUAGACAACCAGGAUGUUGGCUUAGAAGCAGCCAUCAUUCAAAGAGUGCGUAAUAGCUCACUGGUCAAGUGACUCUGCGCCGAAAAUGUAACGGGGCUAAGCGGUUCACCGAAGCUGUGGAUGUUGCCGAAGGCAACAUGGUAGGGGAGCGUUCCAAGCGGCGUCGAAGCCGCAUCGUGAGAUGCGGUGGAGUGCUUGGAAGUGAGAAUGCCGGUAUGAGUAGCGAAAAGAGGGGUGAGAAUCCCCUCCGCCGUAAGCCUAAGGGUUCCUGAGGAAGGUUCGUCCGCUCAGGGUAAGUCGGGACCUAAGCCGAGGCCGAAAGGCGUAGGCGAUGGACAACAGGUUGAAAUUCCUGUACCACCUGAUUCCGUUUGUACGAUGGGGGGACGCAGGAGGGUAGAGAAUCGCGCGACUGGAUGUGCGCGUCCAAGCGGUGAGGCUGAAAGGACAGGCAAAUCCGUCCUUUCUUUAAGGCCAGGCCGUGAUGGCGAGGGAAAUUUAAAGUACCGAAGUUCUUGAUCUCACACUGCCAAGAAAAGCCUCUAGGAGGAAGCAGGUGCCCGUACCGCAAACCGACACAGGUAGGCGAGGAGAGAAUCCUAAGGCGCUCGGGAAAACUCUCGUUAAGGAACUCGGCAAAAUGACCCCGUAACUUCGGGAGAAGGGGUGCCCCGGUAGGGUGAAUAGCCCGAGGGGGCCGCAGUGAAGAGGUCCAGGCGACUGUUUAGCAAAAACACAGGUCUCUGCGAAGCCGCAAGGCGAAGUAUAGGGGCUGACGCCUGCCCGGUGCUGGAAGGUUAAGGGGAAGGGUUAGCGCAAGCGAAGCUCUGAACCGAAGCCCCAGUAAACGGCGGCCGUAACUAUAACGGUCCUAAGGUAGCGAAAUUCCUUGUCGGGUAAGUUCCGACCCGCACGAAAGGCGUAACGAUCUGGACGCUGUCUCAACGAGAGACCCGGUGAAAUUGUACUGCCUGUGAAGAUGCAGGCUACCCGCGACAAGACGGAAAGACCCCGUGGAGCUUUACUGCAGCCUGAUAUUGAAUCUAGGUACGGCUUGUACAGGAUAGGUGGGAGUCGCUGAAACCGGAGCGCCAGCUUCGGUGGAGACGCCGGUGGGAUACCACUCUGGCCGUAUCGGGGUUCUAACUCGCCGCCGUCAGCCGGCGGGAGGACCGUGUCAGGUGGGCAGUUUGACUGGGGCGGUCGCCUCCUAAAAGGUAACGGAGGCGCUCCAAGGUUCCCUCAGCGCGGUCGGAAAUCGCGCCUACAGAGUGCAAAGGCAGAAGGGAGCUUGACUGCGAGACCGACAAGUCGAGCAGGGACGAAAGUCGGACUUAGUGAUCCGGUGGUUCCGUGUGGAAGGGCCAUCGCUCAACGGAUAAAAGCUACCCCGGGGAUAACAGGCUUAUCUCCCCCAAGAGUCCACAUCGACGGGGAGGUUUGGCACCUCGAUGUCGGCUCAUCGCAUCCUGGGGCUGAAGUAGGUCCCAAGGGUUGGGCUGUUCGCCCAUUAAAGCGGUACGCGAGCUGGGUUCAGAACGUCGUGAGACAGUUCGGUCCCUAUCUGUCGCGGGCGCAGGAAAUUUGAGAGGAGCUGUCCUUAGUACGAGAGGACCGGGAUGGACGCACCGCUGGUGUACCAGUUGUUCCGCCAGGAGCACCGCUGGGUAGCCAAGUGCGGACGGGAUAAGCGCUGAAAGCAUCUAAGCGCGAAGCCCACCUCAAGAUGAGAUUUCCCAUUCCUUCGUGGAAGUAAGACCCCUUGAAGAUGACAAGGUAGAUCGGUCCGAGGUGUAAGCACAGCAAUGUGUUCAGCUGACGGAUACGAAUCGGUCGAGGGCUUAUCCUA